GGAAAUUUGAAAUUGCUAUAAACCUAUCACAGAAAUGAAGAAUUAAUCAGACAUUAAGAACCAUCACAUGAUGCAAAGCAUCAAUUGAUAUGUGCUAUAUAUUUACAACCUACAGAAUGAAGAAACCAAAUGAGAAUAAGCCAGAAAUGUGUAAAUUUGGAAUAGUCUACAUUGAAUUAAGAAUUUCAAUCCUGCAAGCAACGACUAACACAUAGAUAAAAUUUCACCAAUAAUUUUCAGCAAAUGAGGGAAGCAAUACUUUACCCUCCAGCAGAACAAAGGCCAA
rnacentral:misc_RNA from 1 species